UACGGAGGGGGCCAGCGUUGUUCGGAAUUAUUGGGCGUAAAGGGCUCGUAGGCGGCCAACUAAGUCGGAUGUGAAAUCCCCAGGCUUAACCUGGGAACUGCAUCCGAUACUGGAUGGCUUGAAUCCGGGAGAGGGAUGCAGAAUUCCAGGUGUAGCGGUGAAAUGCGUAGAUAUCUGGAGGAAUACCGGUGGCGAAGGCGGCAUCCUGGACCGGCAUUGACGCUGAUGAGCGAAAGCCAGGGGAGCAAACGGG
rnacentral:rRNA from 1 species